rnacentral:rRNA from 1 species
CCUACGGGAGGCAGCAGUGGGGAAUAUUGCACAAUGGGGGAAACCCUGAUGCAGCGACGCCGCGUGAGUGAAGAAGUAUUUCGGUAUGUAAAGCUCUAUCAGCAGGGAAGAAAAUGACGGUACCUGACUAAGAAGCCCCGGCUAACUACGUGCCAGCAGCCGCGGUAAUACGUAGGGGGCAAGCGUUAUCCGGAUUUACUGGGUGUAAAGGGAGCGCUGGCGGCACGGCAAGCCUGAUGUGAAAGCCCGCGGCGCAACCGCGGGACUGCAUUGGGAACUACCGGGCUGGAGUGCCGGAGAGGUAGGCGGAAUUCCUAGUGUAGCGGUGAAAUGCGUAGAUAUUAGGAGGAACACCAGUGGCGAAGGCGGCCUACUGGACGGUGACUGACGCUGAGGCUCGAAAGCGUGGGGAGCAAACAGGAUUAGAUACCCCAGUAGUC